rnacentral:tRNA from 1 species
GCUUCAAACCCAUUAUCAUUCCCCUGGUGUUCGAUUGGGUUCAAUUCUCUU